rnacentral:rRNA from 1 species
GACGAACGCUGGCGGCGUGCCUAAUACAUGCAAGUUGAGCGAUGAAGAUUGGUGCCUGCACCAAUUUGAAGAGCAGCGAACGGGUGAGUAACGCGUGGGGAAUCUGCCUUUGAGCGGGGGACAACAUUUGGAAACGAAUGCUAAUACCGCAUAACAACUUUAAACAUAAGUUUUAAGUUUGAAAGAUGCAAUUGCAUCACUCAAAGAUGAUCCCGCGUUGUAUUAGCUAGUUGGUGAGGUAAAGGCUCACCAAGGCGAUGAUACAUAGCCGACCUGAGAGGGUGAUCGGCCACAUUGGGACUGAGGCACGGCCCAAACUCCUACGGGAGGCAGCAGUAGGGAAUCUUCGGCAAUGGACGAAAGUCUGACCGAGCAACGCCGCGUGAGUGAAGAAGGUUUUCGGAUCGUAAAACUCUGUUGGUAGAGAAGAACGUUGGUGAGAGUGGAAAGCUCAUCAAGUGACGGUAACUACCCAGAAAGGGACGGCUAACUACGUG